rnacentral:rRNA from 1 species
GACGAACGCUGGCGGCGUGCUUAACACAUGCAAGUCGAACGGAAAGGCCCUGCUUUUGUGGGGUGCUCGAGUGGCGAACGGGUGAGUAACACUUGAGUAACCUGCCCUUGACUUUGGGAUAACUUCAGGAAACUGGGGCUAAUACCGGAUAGGAGCUCCUGCUGCAUGGUGGGGGUUGGAAAGUUUCGGCGGUUGGGGAUGGACUCGCGGCUUAUCAGCUUGUUGGUGGGGUAGUGGCUUACCAAGGCUUUGACGGGUAGCCGGCCUGGGAGGGUGACCGGCCACAUUGGGACUGAGAUAAGGCACAGACUCGUACGGGAGGCAGCAGUGGGGAAUAGUGCACAAUGGGCGGAAGCAUGAUGCAGCAAAGCAGCGUGCGGGAUGACGGCCUUCGGGUUGUAAACCGCUUUCGCCUGUGACGAAGCGUGAGUGACGGUAAUGGGUAAAGAAGCACCGGCUAACUACGUG